ACACGGACCAAGGAGUGCAACACGCGUGCGAGUCUGUGGGUGAGCGAGACCCUUUGGCGCAAUGAGAGUGAAGGCGGACGCCUGGUCCGUCGAGGCAGGAGCCGUGCUGAGGUUCGGCCCACUGUUGACCGAUCCGUGUCACGCUGUGGCGGGAUUCGAGUGAGAGCGUGCCUGUUGCGACCCGAAAGAUGGUGAACUAUGCCUGAAUAGGGCGAAGCCAGAGGAAACUCUGGUGGAAGCUCGCAGCGGUUCUGACGUGCAAAUCGAUCGUCAAAUUUGGGUAUAGGGGCGAAAGACUAAUCGAACCAUCUAGUAGCUGGUUCCCUCCGAAGUUUCCCUCAGGAUAGCUGGAGCCCGGAGCAGUUUUAUCAGGUAAAGCGAAUGAUUAGAGGUCUUGGGGUUGAAACAACCUCAACCUAUUCUCAAACUUUAAAUGGGUAAGAAGUCCGGCUUGCUCGGUUGAAGUCGGACGGUGGAAUGCCGGGGCUCCCAGUGGGCCAUUUUUGGUAAGCAGAACUGGCGAUGCGGGAUGAACCGAACGCCGGGUUAAGGUGCCCGAAUCGACGCUCAUCAGAUCCCAUGAAAGGUGUUGGUUGAUCUAGACAGCAGGACGGUGGCCAUGGAAGUCGGAAUCCGCUAAGGAGUGUGUAACAACUCACCUGCCGAAUCAACUAGCCCUGAAAAUGGAUGGCGCUGAAGCGUCGUACCCACACCCGGCCGUCGGGUCGAGUGGCAGGUCCCGACGAGUAGGAGGGCGCGGCGGUGGCAGUGCAGCCUCGGGCGCGAGUCCGGGCGAAGCCGCCGCCGGUGCGGAUCUUGGUGGUAGUAGCAAAUAUUCAAACGAGAUCUUUGAAGACUGAAGUGGGGAAGGGUUCCAUGUCGACAGCAGUUGGACAUGGGUUAGUCGAUCCUAAGAGGAGGGAGAGGUCCCCUUGCAAGGCGCAGUCGUCUCGUUGCGACGGCGCCGUUCCUCGAAAGGGAGUCGGGUUAAGAUUCCCGAACCGGGAGGCGGAUAGGCCUUCGGGCCGCGAGCGGCGACGCAAGCGAACUCGGAGACGUCGGCGGGAGCUCCGGGAAGAGUUCUCUUUUCUUCUUAACGGGCUGUCCCCCUGGAAUCAGAUUGGCUGGAGAUAGGGUCUAAUGCCCGGUAAAGCGCCACACUUGUUGUGGCGUCCGGUGCGCUCCCGACGGCCCGUGAAAAUCCGAGGGAGCGGUUGAUUUUCGCGCCCGGUCGUACCGAUAUCCGCAUCAGGUCUCCAAGGUGAACAGCCUCUAGUUGAUAGAACAAUGUAGGUAAGGGAAGUCG
rnacentral:rRNA from 1 species